AGGGGGGUGGACUAGGGAUUAGGGCAGCUGCCUGGGGAGCACAGAGGGGUGGGUUCAAAUCCUGCCCACCCUA
rnacentral:tRNA from 1 species